rnacentral:rRNA from 1 species
UACGGAGGGUGCAAGCGUUAUCCGGAUUCACUGGGUUUAAAGGGUGCGUAGGUGGGCAGGUAAGUCAGUGGUGAAAUCUCCGGGCUUAACUCGGAAACUGCCAUUGAUACUAUCUUUCUUGAAUACCGUGUAGGUCAGCGGAAUAUGUCAUGUAGCGGUGAAAUGCUUAGAUAUGACAUAGAACACCAAUUGCGAAGGCAGCUGGCUACACGAAUAUUGACACUGAUGCACGAAAGCGUGGGGAUCAAACAGG